rnacentral:rRNA from 1 species
CCUACGGGAGGCAGCAGUGGGGAAUCUUGCGCAAUGGGCGAAAGCCUGACGCAGCAACGCCGCGUGCGGGAAGAAGGCUUUCGGGCUGUAAACCGCUUUCAGCAGGAACGAAAAUGACGGUACCUGCAGAAGAAGGAGCGGCCAACUAUGUGCCAGCAGCCGCGGUGAUACAUAGGCUUCAAGCGUUGUCCGGAUUUAUUGGGCGUAAAGAGUUCGUAGGCGGUCGAGUAAGUCGGGUGUGAAAAUUCUGGGCUCAACCCAGAGACGCCACCCGAUACUGCUUGACUUGAGUUCGAUAGGGGAGUGGGGAAUUCCUAGUGUAGCGGUGAAAUGCGCAGAUAUUAGGAGGAACACCGGUGGCGAAGGCGCCACUCUGGAUCGAUACUGACGCUGAGGAACGAAAGCAUGGGUAGCAAACAGGAUUAGAUACCCUGGUAGUCCAUGCCGUAAACGGUGGACACUAGGUGUGGGUUUCUAUUAACGAAAUCCGCGCCGUCGCUAACGCAUUAAGUGCCCCGCCUGGGGAGUCGGUGCAAGACUAAACUCGAAAGUGUAAGUGNGUUGAGUAGNGNGACGACGACGACGAGGAGGAG